GUCUUUUUGUUUUUAUUUAAAGUCUGAUCUGCUCACUGAUUAUUUAAAGAGCCGCGGUAUUUUGACCGUGCAAAGGUAGCAUAAUAAUUAGUUUUUUAAUUGGAAACUGGAAUGAAUGGUUGGACAAGAAAAUUGCUGUCUCUUAUUAAAUUUUUUGAAUUUUACUUUUGAGUUAAAAGGCUCAAAUUUUUUUAAAAGACGAGAAGACCCUAUAGAGUUUUAUUGAUUUGUGUUUAUAUUAUUUUGGUAAUUUUAUUUUUAAGUUCUUGUUUAAUUUGGUUGGGGUGAUUAUAAAAUUUAAUUAACUUUUAUUUUAUUUUUACAUUAAUUUGUGAUUUUUUGAUCCAUGUUUUUAUGAUUUUAAGAUAAAUUACCUUACGG
rnacentral:rRNA from 1 species